CAGCAUGGAAGUUUUUGUGUGUCUCGCAUCCAUGAAUUACAGCCAGACCAACACUAAACCAUCCUGCACACCUAGAAAACUGAUCUGAGGAUUAACACAACAGUCUGCACAACCUGAAGCACAAAAUUCAGCAGGUAUUCUCAUCUUUUCUGUGUGUUUCACCAUCGGUACUCUUUACCAGCAGUUGUUUAAUCAAUUUGUAAUAGAGAAGACUCAGUAGGAGAAAAUGUCAAAUCUAAAAAUGAAAGAGGCCGCCCUUAUCUAUCUUGACAGAAGUGGAGGCCUCCAAAAGUUUAUAGAUGAUUGCAAGUUCUACAAUGAUUCAAAACAAAGUUAUGCAGUCUAUCGAUUCAGUAUUUUAAUAAAUCCCUCUGAUAUUGUUGAAUUGGAUGCUGAACUUGGAAAUUACAUUUUACACCAGCCACUAAAAGCUGCUCAAGUUUUUCAAUCUGUCUGUUUUAUUGCUGUUAAGACUCUUUCACUAAUUGGACAAUUACAGACUGAAGCUCAAAUUAAUAUAGUGCUGAAGUUAACACAUUUACCUCCUCUGCGAAGUUAUAGUCUUGAUCUUUGUGAAUUUCCACUUGAUUAUGCAUCUCAAAGAUUUUAUAUGAUGCAAGGUAUUGUGAUUGCAAUGACAACUGUAACCAAGUAUACACAAGGUGCAAGAUUUCUUUGUUCAGAUGAAGCAUGCCCUCUGUCGAAAGGAUUUGAGUAUAUAAGAGUGCACGUGCCUGGUGCUACUGAAUCUGCAACAGUAAGAAAUGACUUUUUGUGUAAUCUGUGUUCAUCUUCACUUCAAGAAGACAGAAAAUUUAGAGUACUUGGUGAUAAACAGAUAGUUGAAAUAAUCACAGCAAAGGCACUUCAUGCUUUUCAAGGAUAUUCCAAUAACCAGCCAUUUAGGUAUCAAUCUCUUACAAUUUUUCUAAGGGAUGAAUCUGUGAGUAAAAUGAAUAUAGGAAAUGAGUAUAAAAUUAUUGGAAUUCCAACCUGUGUAAGAACUUCACAAACUGCUGUCUGUAUAGAGGCAAACAGUAUCAUUUCUUGUAAUCCAGAAGUUCCUUCAGGAAUAAGCGACAAUUUUAGGUAUCUCCUCUCUUUGACUUCCAGCUCAUGCUGGAAAUUUACAGCGAUACUUGCCAAUAUCUUUGCAUCACAAAUUGUUCCUCCUGGGACUUACAAUUUGCUCAAGCUAUGUUUGCUGAUGAGUCUAGUACAGACAAGUGACCGUAACAAGGAACUGAAAGAUUGCCUGGAUAUUUUAAUCAUGACAAGUGAUACUCUACUUGUAGACAGGCUUUUGAAUUUUAGUAUAAAACUUGUGCCUCGUGGCAUACGUCAUCCAGUCUCUACUGAAAUUUUUCCUACUCUAUCCAGGAAUAAGUAUGGAACUGGAGCAGUUAGUAUUCAAGCUGGCAGUGCUUUGCUAGCUAAAGGUGGUAUCUGCUUUAUAGGAGACUUGGCUUCACACAAAAAAGAUAAACUAGAACAGCUUCAAUCAGUUGUGGAAAGCAGAAGCAUCACAGUAUACAUCCCAGGAAAGAAGUUUGGGGAUGAUAUUAAUCAACAAAUGACUUUUCCAGUUCAGUGCAGUUUUUGGUCUUUUGUUGAUAUGGAUUCAUCUUCAAGGAGAAAUAUGCAGAAAACCAACACUCUCAUUGGUCGGAUGGAUUGCAGUUUGAUUCCAGCUAAUCUUGUAGAGGCGUUUGGAUUAUUGAUUAACUGCAAUGAAUCAUCUUCUUGCUACCCACUUAUUUCUACUGUGCAACACACUUUAAAGAAAGCCAUCGAUCCUGAAGAGCUCCUUUAUGUAGCUUCUAAGAAGUUCACAACUGAAGAUUUUGAAAAGCUGCUGGCUUUUGCAAAGAAUUUGAAUGUAGAAUUCAGUUUGGAGGCAGAAAGAAUGAUCCAUGGCUAUUAUCUAGCAAGUCGCAGAAUCAGAACAGAUUCUAUAAGUGGAUCAAAACUGUCAGCAUCUGCAUUAAAAUAUUUAGUUUCCCUAGCUGAAGCACAUGCUCGACUGAACUUAAGGAAUAAAGUGCUUAAAGAAGAUGUACUAAUUGCAGCCUUAUUGUUUGAAACAUCUCUCACACUGAAAUAUGGGGCCACUGUAUUUUGUGUUGCUCCAAAUGCAGUAUUUCCAUUUGAAUUGUAUAAUGAAGAAUAUUUGGAACAAAGGGAUAUCUAUUUGAAUGAAUGCCAACAGCAGCUCCAACAGUUUAUUGCCACAUAUGGACCUGGGACAGCUAUUUUCACUAGUGAUGAAUAGGCAAUCUGAGGAAAAUCAUUUUCUUCACUCAUAUUUAAGCAGUGGAAAGGUGUGAUUCUGAAGUAAUGCUUCAGAAACCAACAAUGAAAAUCACUCCAUAGUCAAAAUCAAAGGAGAAUCAGACUUCUGACAACACACACACAGGCAACUUUAACAGGAUAUGGCCCAAACCCUUUGGAGUUUCAGAUACUUUUGAAUUAUUAUUAGCUGUGAUUGCCAGAAUUACUUACCGAGGCAAUGAAGAAUUUUUAACCACAACAGUUAUGGACUUGGACAUUCAUCUGCAGCUACCUACAUGCUGAAAAGAACAUAUAACCCAUUUUAAUGAAAAACUGCAUUAUACUUGAGUAAUUCACAUAAACAAUAUACGUAACUGGCAUCUCAGUCUUCAAAUUAUUUCUUCAAAGAAACCCUCAGCUGGGUAAACGGCAAAAAGUAAUUUAAGUCAUCAUUGUGCCAGUUACUAAACCUAUCUAGGUCAAAAACCUACUAAAUGUUUUUGGUACUGCUUUUCUUGGACAGUACCAUAAAUACAUAACAAAGCACAGUGUUUAACAUUAAGUUUUGGUACCUCAUUACAUGCAGUUGUGCUCCUAGUAGUUUUAUCACAGCCAUCCUCAGAUGUUUUUGGAAAACAUCACAACGUUCAUCUUCAACUCAUAGGCUCUGUUGUACCUAGAAAUCAAAAUAUUUCAUUGUGAAUUCUCAUUUGUACUUGCCAUCUGUUUGGCAUCUUAUAUGCAGGAAUGGUCCAGUAAGACUUUUUCAUUCUCAUCAGGAGCCAUAAACAUUUUACUUACAACC